AGCGAACGCUGGCGGCAGGCCUAACACAUGCAAGUCGAACGAACUCUUCGGAGUUAGUGGCGGACGGGUGAGUAACACGUGGGAACGUGCCUUUAGGUUCGGAAUAACUCAGGGAAACUUGUGCUAAUACCGAAUGUGCCCUUCGGGGGAAAGAUUUAUCGCCUUUCGAGCGGCCCGCGUCUGAUUAGCUAGUUGGUGAGGUAAAGGCUCACCAAGGCGACGAUCAGUAGCUGGUCUGAGAGGAUGAUCAGCCACAUUGGGACUGAGACACGGCCCAAACUCCUACGGGAGGCAGCAGUGGGGAAUCUUGCGCAAUGGGCGAAAGCCUGACGCAGCCAUGCCGCGUGAAUGAUGAAGGUCUUAGGAUUGUAAAAUUCUUUCACCGGGGACGAUAAUGACGGUACCCGGAGAAGAAGCCCCGGCUAACUUCGUG
rnacentral:rRNA from 1 species